rnacentral:rRNA from 1 species
AGGUAAGCUACUAAGAGCGAAUGGUGGAUGCCUUGACUGGUAAAGGCGAUGAAGGACGUACUAGACUGCGAUAAGCUACGGGGAGCUGUCAAGAAGCUUUGAUCCGUAGAUUUCCGAAUGGGGCAACCCAAUGUAUAGAGAUAUACAUUACCUAUAUAGGAGCGAACGAGGGGAAUUGAAACAUCUUAGUACCCUCAGGAAAAGAAAUCAAUAGAGAUUGCGUCAGUAGCGGCGAGCGAAAGCGCAAGAGGGCAAACCCAGUGCUUGCACUGGGGGUUGUAGGACUGCAAUGUGCAAGAGGUAAGUUUAGCAGAACAUUCUGGAAAGUAUAACCAUAGAGGGUGAUAGUCCCGUAUGCGAAAAACAAACCUUAGCUAGCAGUAUCCUGAGUAGGGCGGGACACGAGGAAUCCUGUCUGAAUCCGGGUCGACCACGAUCCAACCCUAAAUACUAAUACCAGAUCGAUAGUGCACAAGUACCGUGAGGGAAAGGUGAAAAGAACUGAGGUGAUCAGAGUGAAAUAGAACCUGAAACCAUUUGCUUACAAUCAUUCAGAGCCCUAUGUAGCAAUACAGGGUGAUGGACUGCCUUUUGCAUAAUGAGCCUGCGAGUUGUGGUGUCUGGCAAGGUUAAGCAAACGCGAAGCCGUAGCGAAAGCGAGUCUGAAUAGGGCGCUUAGUCAGAUGCUGCAGACCCGAAACGAAGUGAUCUAUCCAUGAGCAAGUUGAAGCUAGUGUAAGAACUAGUGGAGGACUGAACCCAUAGGCGUUGAAAAGCCCCGGGAUGACUUGUGGAUAGGGGUGAAAGGCCAAUCAAACUUCGUGAUAGCUGGUUCUCUCCGAAAUAUAUUUAGGUAUAGCGUUGUGUCGUAAUAUAAGGGGGUAGAGCACUGAAUGGGCUAGGGCAUACACCAAUGUACCAAACCCUAUCAAACUCCGAAUACCUUAUAUGUAAUCACAGCAGUCAGGCGGCGAGUGAUAAAAUCCGUCGUCAAGAGGGAAACAACCCAGACUACCAGCUAAGGUCCCUAAGUCUUACUUAAGUGGAAAACGAUGUGAAGUUACUUAAACAACCAGGAGGUUGGCUUAGAAGCAGCCAUCCUUUAAAGAAAGCGUAAUAGCUCACUGGUCUAGUGAUUUUGCGCGGAAAAUAUAACGGGGCUAAAGUAAGUACCGAAGCUGUAGACUUAGUUUACUAAGUGGUAGGAGAGCGUUCUAUUUGCGUCGAAGGUAUACCGGUAAGGAGUGCUGGAGCGAAUAGAAGUGAGCAUGCAGGCAUGAGUAGCGAUAAUUAAUGUGAGAAUCAUUAACGCCGUAAACCCAAGGUUUCCUACGCGAUGCUCGUCAUCGUAGGGUUAGUCGGGUCCUAAGUCGAGUCCGAAAGGGGUAGACGAUGGCAAAUUGGUUAAUAUUCCAAUACCAACAUUAGUGUGCGAUGGAAGGACGCUUAGGGCUAAGGGGGCUAGCGGAUGGAAGUGCUAGUCUAAGGUCGUAGGAGGUUAUACAGGCAAAUCCGUAUAA